UGGUACACACACCCACAUGCUGAACACACAAACAUUUAACAACUCACAAAAAUUCAAAGACAGAUUUCACUUCCAUCAUGUUAGACAGUUAAAAACUACAUAAGAACACAGGAGCUUGUAGACGUGAAAAUACAACACUCAGAUUUGCCACUGGGCUUCUACUUUGCAGAUGUAUGUGGUGGCUUGUAUUUGCUUUUUACCUUUACGAGCUUAUGUUGUAUUCUGCUUAUGCCAUUAAAAAUGCUCUAAUACUCUUUUAUCCUUUCUCAGUCACAGGGGGCAUCACAGAAGAGCAGUUUCAGACACAUCAACAGCAGCUAGCUCAAAUGCAAAGGCAGCAACUCGCGCAGCUUCAGCAGAAACAGCAAUCCCAGCAUUCCUCACAGCAGACACAUCCAAAAGCACAGGGCUCAAGCACCUCGGACUGUAUGUCUAAAACACUUGACUCAGCCAGCGCCCACUUUGCUGCAUCUGCAGUGGUCAGUGCUCCUGUUCCAAGUCGCAGUGAGGGAUCUAAGGAACAGAACACUGGCCACAACAAUAUGAAUGGUGUUGUCCAGCCUUCAGGUACAGCUGGGGUUUCUGUAAUUCUUAUUAACUUGAAAUUGCCACUCACCAAGUUGUGUUUGAUUCUGUUGUAUACAUGGGAGAAUUGUAUACUGUGUUGAGAAUGCCUUGCACUAAUAGAGAUGAAUAGCUGAGUGUUUGCCACAGUUCUCACUGUCCCUUCUAUAUACCUAUGUCCGUCCAU
rnacentral:lncRNA from 1 species